CAAACAUUCAUUUACUAGUUUAAAGUGAAAUCGAGACCCCAUGAUUCAAAAUGAUAUAUAGUAAUUUUAAACAUAUGGGUGCUGUAUCACUCGUGUAAUAGAGCGUGCAAUUGCAACUCUUUGCUUUUGCCCAUCAAAAAGUUGAACACAUCGCUCACCAAUUUUAGUCGAAUAGUCCCCCGGAAGGGCAAUGAUGACACUAUGUGCAUUAGUGAGCUUUGUUGCUUCUAUAAUCUCUUUUUGUCGCUUCCUCUUAACCAUAAAAAUGUUUUCAGAUUAAUGUGGCCAAAAAAGUCGGCUCUUGUUGUACCAAUUCGAUGUGUUUCCUUAAAAAUUUGAGCUUCAGUUUCUUGAUGUCUUUGCCUGUGUAAGUUUUACAAUAUCAUUAACAUCAGAUAAUAAUUUGGAGACUUAAGUGUGUGUUUUGCAAAAUAGGAUUGAAUACUACUAGAUAAUGUUGUCAUAGAUAUGCUGGUCAGAGUAAACACAAAUGAAAAUUCUCACCGAUAUGCUCAAUGUUUCAAUCAACUUCUAC
rnacentral:lncRNA from 1 species